CUGAUUUUAGCGAACCGAGCAUUAGCGAGGUUUUGCGACCACUUGUAUUUAAAACCCAACUCAUAUAAAAUAUGUAUAUUUUUGAAAAAUAAAUUAAAGA
rnacentral:misc_RNA from 1 species